UACGUAGGGUGCAAGCGUUGUCCGGAAUUAUUGGGCGUAAAGAGCUCGUAGGCGGUCUGUUGCGUCUGCUGUGAAAACUCGGGGCUUAACCCCGAGCCUGCAGUGGAUACGGGCAGACUAGAGGUAGGUAGGGGAGAAUGGAAUUCCCGGUGUAGCGGUGAAAUGCGCAGAUAUCGGGAGGAACACCGGUGGCGAAGGCGGUUCUCUGGGCCUUACCUGACGCUGAGGUGCGAAAGCGUGGGGAGCAAACAGG
rnacentral:rRNA from 1 species